GACGAACGCUGGCGGCGUGCUUAACACAUGCAAGUCGAACGGACAGGCCCUGCUUUUGUGGGGUGCUCGAGUGGCGAACGGGUGAGUAACACGUGAGUAACCUGCCCUUGACUUUGGGAUAACUUCAGGAAACUGGGGCUAAUACCGGAUAGGAGCUCCUGCUGCAUGGUGGGUGUUGGAAAGUUUCGGCGGUUGGGGAUGGACUCGCUGUUUAUCAGCUUGUUGUUGGGGUAGUGACUUACCAAGGCUUUGACGGGUAGCCGGCCGGAGAGGGUGACCGGCAAAAUCGGGGCGGAGAUACGGCCGAGCCUCCUACGGGGGGCAGCAGGGGGGAAUAAUGCACAAUGGGCGGAGGCAUGAGGCAGCAGCGCCGCUGGCGGGAGGACGGCCUUCGGGUGGUAAACCGCUUCCUCUUGUGACGAAGCGUGAGGGACGGAAUUGGGUAAAGAACCACCGCUAAACUACUG
rnacentral:rRNA from 1 species